UGGGGAAUUUUGGACAAUGGGCGCAAGCCUGAUCCAGCAAUGCCGCGUGCAGGAUGAAGGCCUUCGGGUUGUAAACUGCUUUUGUACGGAACGAAAAAGCUCUCUCUAAUACAGGGGGUGAAUGACGGUACCGUAAGAAUAAGCACCGGCUAACUACGUGCCAGCAGCCGCGGUAAUACGUAGGGUGCAAGCGUUAAUCGGAAUUACUGGGCGUAAAGCGUGCGCAGGCGGUUUUGUAAGACAGAGGUGAAAUCCCCGGGCUCAACCUGGGAACUGCCUUUGUGACUGCAAAGCUGGAGUGCGGCAGAGGGGGAUGGAGUUCCGCGUGUAGCAGUGAAAUGCGUAGAUAUGCGGAGGAACACCGAUGGCGAAGGCAAUCCCCUGGGCCUGCACUGACGCUCAUGCACGAAAGCGUGGGGAGCAAACA
rnacentral:rRNA from 1 species